GCUGUCCUGCAUGCCAAAUAUCUAAUAUCUUCUCAAAUUUGCUCACACCACCUAAUGCUUUUGCCACAGCUGCAAAUUGGCAAUGUUAUGAAAAUGAUAGCAUUUGAAUCAUGGAGGCCACUGACAUGGGUUUGCCAAAAAUUAAAUUAAAAUGAAAGACAUCUAUGUGUUGCAAGAAGAUUAAAAAGUAUCAGGCGUCAUACUGAAAUAUGAAUAGUGUUAUAUCAAUCGGUCCACCCCAAGUGUUUUAGAAAAGAAUCAUGGAUUCAAAAUCAAAUCCUUCUCAAUAGUCAAGAAUAUAAAAUGGUUCCACUAGUAUU
rnacentral:misc_RNA from 1 species